GAGGAGACAAAGGACAGAAAAGGACUCAUGGCUUCUGACGCCAGUCACGUGCUAGAAGCUGCCCUGGAGCAAAUGGACGGAAUCAUCGCAGGAACUAAAACAGGGGCAGAUAUUAACGAUGGUACCUGUGAGCCCGGACCGGCCUCCCCAGCCUCCUACAUGAACCCCUUCCCGGUGCUCCAUCUCGUCGAGGACUUGAGGCUGGCCUUGGAGAUGCUGGAGCAUCCUCAGGAGAGGGCAGCCCUCCUGAGCCAGAUCCCGGGCCCCACUGCUGCCUACAUAAAGGAGUGGUUCAAGGAGAGCUCGUCCCAGGUAAAUCACCACAGUGCUGCCGGUAAUGAAACAUACCAGGAACGCUUAGCACGUCUAGAAGGAGAUAAGGAGUCCCUCAUAUUACAGGUGAGUGUCCUCACAGACCAAGUGGAAGCCCAGGGAGAGAAGAUUCGGGACCUGGAAGUGUGUCUGGAAGGGCACCAGGUGAAACUCAAUGCUGCCGAAGAGAUGCUUCAACAGGAGCUACUAAGUCGUACAUCUCUUGAGACCCAGAAGCUCAAUCUGAUGACCGAAGUGUCUGAGCUGAAGCUCAAGCUGGUGGGCAUGGAGAAGGAACAGAAAGAGCAGGAGGAAAAGCAGAAAAAAGCAGAGGAGUUACUGCAGGAGCUCCGGCACCUCAAAAUCAAGGUGGAAGAGUUGGAAAAUGAACGGAAUCAGUAUGAAUGGAAACUAAAGGCCACCAAGGCUGAGGUAGCCCAGCUGCAAGAGCAGGUGGCCCUGAAGGAUGCAGAAAUUGAGCGCCUGCACAGCCAGCUCUCCAGGUCAGCAGCUCUGCACAGUGACCACACAGAGAAAGACCAAGAAAUUCAACGUCUGAAAAUGGGGAUGGAAACUUUGCUUGUUGCCAAUGAAGAUAAGGACCGUCGGAUAGAGGAGCUUACGGGGCUGUUAAACCAGUACCGAAGGGUGAAUGAGAUCGUGAUGGCAGCCCAAGGGCCUUCAGAAAGAACUCUCUCAAUCAAUGAGGAGGAACUGGAGGGAGGUUUCAGGAACUGGAACGCUGCAAAUAAAGGCCCCGAAGACCUAUUUAAAUCAGAGGUGUCUCCAAGAGGCAGCUCUCCCACGGCGGGGCCGCCCCCACUACCGCAGAAAUCACCGGAAACCAGGGCUCAGAAAAAACUCUCCUGUAGUCUCGAAGACUUGAGAAGUGAAUCUGUGGACAAGUGUGUCGGUGGGAACCAGCCCUCCCCAGUGGUAGAACCCAAGGAUGGCCCUUUCCUGGCGGAGCACAAGUACCCCACGUUACCCGGGAAGCUUCCAGGAGCCACGCCCAAUGGAGAGGCUGUGAAGUCUCCAUCUACCGCCUCCCCAGUGGAUCCUGCAGGGAGCAGCCCGCUGAGGCUGAGAGACACAGAAAGUGGCUGGGACGACACUGCCGUGGCCAAUGACUCAUCCCUGUCAUCGGGCACCGAGUCCAGCCCCCAGUCUCCCCUGACAUCAGAUGGUAAACGGAGCCCCAGAGGCAUCAAGAAGUUCUGGGGAAAGAUCCGAAGGACUCAGUCAGGAAACUUCAACACCGAUGCCCCAGGGGUGGCUGAGUUUCGACGAGGUGGGCUCCGGGCAACUGCAGGACCAAGACUGUCCAGGACCAGAGAUCCCAAGGCUCAGAAAAGUGACGCCAACGCCCCCUUUGCCCAAUGGAGCACAGAGCGUGUGUGCACGUGGCUGGAGGACUUCGGCCUGGCUCAGUAUGUCAUCUUUGCGAGGCAAUGGGUGACUUCUGGCCACACAUUACUGACAGCUACCCCUCAGGACAUGGAAAAGGAGCUAGGAAUUAAGCACCCUCUUCACAGGAAAAAGCUGGUUUUAGCAGUGAAAGCCAUCAACACCAAGCAGGAGGAGAAGUCUGCACUGCUGGACCACAUCUGGGUAACACGUUGGCUUGAUGACAUUGGCUUACCCCAGUACAAAGACCAGUUUCAUGAAUCCAGAGUCGAUGGGCGGAUGCUGCAGUACCUGACGGUGAAUGAUCUACUCUUCCUAAAAGUCACCAGCCAACUACAUCAUCUCAGCAUCAAAUGUGCCAUUCACGUGCUGCACGUCAACAAGUUCAACCCUCACUGCCUGCACCGGCGGCCAGCUGAUGAGAGUAACCUCUCUCCUUCAGAAGUUGUGCAGUGGUCCAACCACAGGGUGAUGGAGUGGUUGCGGUCCGUGGACCUGGCGGAAUACGCGCCCAACCUUCGUGGAAGUGGCGUCCAUGGAGGGCUCAUUAUUCUAGAGCCACGCUUCACAGGGGACACCUUGGCCAUGCUUCUCAACAUCCCACCACAAAAAACGCUCCUCAGACGUCACCUGACCACCAAAUUCAACGCCUUGAUCGGCCCUGAGGCUGAGCAGGAGAAGCGAGAGAGAAUGACCUCACCUGCUUACACACCACUGACCACCACAGCCAAAGUCCGGCCAAGGAAGCUGGGAUUUUCACACUUUGGAAACAUAAGGAAAAAGAAGUUUGAUGAAUCGACAGACUACAUUUGCCCAAUGGAGCCCAACAACAGUGUUGGUGAUGGUCACAGGGCCUACAGCGGCACCCGGGGCCUCAGCACACUUGAUGCCCCUGAGCUGGACGGGUUGGACCAGGUGGGACCGAUCAGCUGAGGCCUUUGUCACCUGUGCUGUCUGUGCGUCCCGAAAGCUCACAGUAACUCCGCGUGUGUCACCAUGUAACUCACCUCACCCCGCGUAUGCGCAUGACCCGCAGAGAACAUUCCAGCCAUUGCGCACCCCUGGGCGUCUUUCUCCAAACCCUGCGGGUGGCCAGAUGGCACCUUCGGAAGGCACCGUGACGCAGAUAGGGCUCCUCUCCCAAGACAUUCACCGCCUCACGACGAUGCUGAGCCAGGACCAGCUGCUGACCGACUCCCACCUGGCCACUCCCAGAUCUGAGGACUGGAGAUGACUCUCUUCAUGGCUGGCAGCCCAGAGAGGCACGUGUGUGGGUCCCAAGUCUGCUUCGAUGGGAAGCUGGCCCAUGGCCACCCACAGAGCCCAGACUGGGCCCCAGGGCAUCUCCGACGUGGGUGCUGACAGGACAAUGCGAGGCUGUGGAACAGAUGUCCACGAGGUGGCCCACAGGUUUUCAACUGUGCUGUGCUCUCCACCACAGCUUCUGUACCUUUUGUACUUUUAUAAGUGGACUGUAGAGCGCUUUUGCAGGGAGGGCAGUGAGAUGCCCACACACACUCAAUGACUCAUGCCAUCCCUAGCGACAGCUGGGGGCUCUUACACCAAAGUGGGGGAAGGGCUGUGAGUCACAAAAGCUUUGCUGCGAAAAAAAAAAUUCUGAAUGUUCUGAGCUGGCUGAAGUGGUAGGAAGCCUCCUCCCGGGCUGCUUCCGUAUGGAAGCUUGUAGUGCAUUUCUGUUCCCAGGAAUCUGGCUGGAGCGCCAGCAGGGAAGGAGUGAUGGACUCCCUCAACAAGACUGCCAUUUUCUGCAGUGGCGUCUCAGGUGCUCAGGGCUGCGGAGCCUCCCAGCAUCUGAGCAGACAUCUCUGCGGCCUUUCCCUUGUCAGCCUCAGAGGCAAUUUAUCUGAUCAAACAGCUCCCUCGAGUGGAAGGCCCUUUCCACUGCAAGAGAUCUCAGGUAUGUCCUACCUCAGGGAAAGGCACCUGCUCAGUGGCCACACAAUCACCCUUCCCCUUGAGCAAUGGCCCUAACUCCUCCCUCUAGCGCCUCUAGCUCUGGCCUCAUCUCUCUAACUUCCUCAGGGGGGUCUCCCACUGGGUCCCUCAUCCUUCCUUUCCAGUUGGUCCCCUCUGGGUGUUCUCUACACCAUCCCUGGAGGGAACUUCCCAAAGCACUGUUUUCAUGCUGCUAAGAACCCAGUUCCACAACUACCACAGAUUAGCAUUCAAAAGCCUUAGCACCCAAGACCCCUCUGAAUCUUCAGCAUUCAUGAACCCAUGCUCUAGCCUUUGCUCCUACCUUUCCCUCACCAGAAUGUAUUCUUCUCCUACUCCCUGUCACACAGCUGGAUCCUGUCUGCUGAGGUUCAGGUCAGCCCCAGCCUCUUUCAGGAAGCUUUCACUGAGGGUUGGAGGUCUCCAUCCCAUGGUGCUGUCUGACCUGAGCACUUCCUGGCUCUCCUUGAAGUAGUGUGUAACCUUUCUCCACCCAUGCUCAACACAAACUCACUGAGCACCUGUAUGGACAGGUUCCUGUACAGACAAGAGUAAGACCCUUCCCCAUCUUCUCAUUCCCUCAUAUGUGCAGGCUAAAUACCUUCCAUUCUGGGCCAAGGAGCACUGGGGAUACCGGGAUGAAUGUCAAGGUCUUUGCCUGGGGGUGUGGAUGGUCUGGUGUGGGAGUACAGGUCUGUUUCAGACAAGAGUGUGUGCUGAAUGUUACAGAUACUCCAAUAGAAGUGUCUACAGCCCCAAAGAGCAAAUUGUCAUUGUUAACGCAGGGCUGGGGAGGGGGACUGAAAAGGCUCCAAGGAAGAGGUGAUACUUGAAUUUUGAAAGAUGAAUCAGAGUCAAGUAUGCCAGAGGGGAAAGGCACUCCAGGCAGAUGGACCUGAACCAUCCCAGCACGUCCAAGGAAGUACCUGAAGUUGGUAUGACAAGAGCAGAGCUUCUUGACCCCUGCAUUGCUGUCAUUCGGGGCUGGUAAGUCACUGUGCUGGGGCCAUCCCGUGUGUUCUAGGAUGUUCAGCAGCAUUCUUGGUCUCUCCCUCUAGAUGCCAAUAGCUCCCCUCUAAUUGAGGACCACUGGGCCAGAGAAUUGGGUCAGAGAAGGAGGCCCAAGGAAGGAAGGAUCUGGUGAGGUCAGCUGGAGCCCAGAUCAUGAAAGGCUUGGUAAGCCAGCCUCCCGGAAUUGACCUUGGAGAUACACGGUGUCCAGGGAGGGACUACUGAAAGCAGUGAGAUGUUUAAAGCAGGGGACAGGCAUGGCAUGAUGUGUGUUUAAAAGAAACAUCUGGAGGGAGGACCUACCUUACUCAUCGUGCAGUGCCCAUCACUGUGUCUUUCUCUGAGGAUGAACUCAACAGGUGGACGGAUGAAGGCUGAGCUGCCACCAUCUCCCCCAGCCCCCACUGGCCCGCUGAGAGACUGACCUGUGUUACGCCACCUGUGGGUACUGCACCAGUGUGCUUCAGAGAAUUCUCUCGCGCUGUCUUCCUCUAUCUCCUGUAUCCCUUCACUCUGCCCCGCUACCCACAUAUACACGUGCGUAAGAAAUCCAGUGACACCAACUUCAAACAAUGCUGCUACUAUGCCAGUUUUUGCAAAAAGUGAGCAACUUGGAGUUAAACUCAAGUUUGAAGCCCAGCUCUGCCAUCUACUGGCUGAAUGAUCUAGGGACAACAGCUUCAUGUCUAAAUUGCCACAUCUGUAACUUGGAGGACAAAAUCCACACACUGGCUCAGCAGGGGGGAGAGCACCCAAGAUGGAAGAGUAACAAGACCCAGAACUCACCUGCUUUCAUGAGCACACCAAAAUCACAACUAUCUGCAGAACAACCGUCGAUAAAAAAAGACUGGAGAGAUCUUCUCCGGUUAAUGACACAAAGAAGGAACCACAACGAAACAGGUGGGAAGGAUGGACUUGGAUACAAGGAUACAAUCAAAUCCCAUACCACCUCCCCAGGGUAGGUGACCACAGACUAGGGAAAAAUUAUAUUAGAUUCUCCCACAAGAGCAAGCGUUCUGAGCCCCACGUCAGGCUGCCAAGCCCAGGGCUCUGGUCAGAUGAGCUCUCCAGAACAGUUGUUUCUGAAGCCAGUGGGGCUUAACUGCAGAAGCCCCACAAGCUUGGGGCAAAUAGAGACUCCAUUCUUAAAGUUACUCAGUCCGACUCUUUGCAAUGCUAUGGAUUAUAGCCUACCAGGCUUCUCCGCCCAUGGGAUUUUCCAGGCAAGAGUACUGGAGUGGGUUGCCAGUCCCUUCUCCAGGAGAUCUUCCUGACCCAGGGAUUGAACCCAGGUCUCCCGCAUUGUAGGCAGACGCUUUACCAUCUGAGCCACCAGGGAAGUUCAUUCUGAAAGGCACAUACAAAACUCCAUGUACACCAGGACACAGAGCAAAAGAAGUAAUUUGUUAAGAGCCUGGGCCAGACCUACCUGCUGGCCUUGGAGAGUCUCCUGGAGAUGAAGCGGGCGGGUGUGGCUCACCCUGGGGACAGACACACUAGUGGCAGCCAUACCCGGGAGCAUUCAGGAGCCCCAACAUGGUUGACGGUGGCAGCUGACAGCUUGGCUUAGUAGCUCAAGGACCACACCCUGCCCCGUGGCCUACAGGCAACAGCACUGGGCCACCUCAGGCCAAGCAACUGGGUGGGGACACAGCUUCACCCAUCAGCAGACAGGCGCCUUGUCUAAAGACUAAAGAGCCCACAAGUGCCUCUGGGUUCACCCCUCAACAUAGCCCAACGCACCGGAGGGCUAAGACCUGGCUGGUAAAGCAAAAAAACAAUUCCCCAACGCAGGCCAGACUGUACCCUGGGACCAGGUGGGCCCUGAACACUAAUAGGCCAACACAACCUUUCAUGACACCCCAGGUUCCAUCCCAACUGUGUUAGGAACCAAUGAUCUCAAGCUCUAGGGUCCUUGGCCAGACUUCAGGAACUAGCUCUGCCUGCCAGGAACUGGUUUCAUCUGUCAGCAGGUGGGCAACAGCCCCAGAGUCUUGGUGACCCUGAUUCUGCCCACCAGUGAGCCAGCACUAGCCCUGGGCCUCCUUGGGUUACCACAACAUAAAGACCCAUGCUGCCCUCUCAGGGGGAACCCUAGAACAUACAGCUUGGUUAAGGAGAGGAAUAUACUGCUAGGAUGCUUCCUACACAAGGCCACUCUCCAAGGUCAAGAAAUGUCACUAACCUACCACUUACAUACAAAUAGUAAUUCAGACAAAAUGAGGUGGCAGAGGAAACCACCACUGCUUAAAAGGAAAAAAAGAGAAAAGAAUGAAAAGAAAUGAGGUGAGUUUAAGAGAACUCUGGGACAACAUCUAGCACACUAAUAUUUGCAUUACUGGGGUCCCAAAAAGAGGAGAGAGGGCUCGAGAAAAUAUUUGAAGAGAUAAUAGCUGAAAACCUCCCUAACCUGCGAAAAGAAAUAGUCACCCAAGUCCAGGAAAUGCAGAGAGCCCCAAAGAGAAACAUACCAACAUUGUAAUCAAAAUGACAAAAAUUAAAUACUAAAAGCAGCAAAUAACAUUAAAGAAGGGAACUCCCAUUAAACUAUUAGCUAAUUUUUCAGCAGAAACUCUGCAGGUCAGAAGGGAGUGGCACGAUAUAUUUAAAGUGUGAAAUGGAAAAACACAACCAAGAAUACUCUACCCUCCAAGGCUGUCAUUCAGAUUUGAAGGAGAAGUCAAAAGCUUUAAAGACAAGCAAAAGCUAAAAGAAUUCAUCACCAAACUAGCUUUACAACAAAUGUUAAAGGAACGUCUCUGGUGGAAAAAGAAAAGGCUGCCAGUAUAAAUAAAAUCAUGGAAUGAAAAACUCACCAGUAAAGGCAAACAUACAGUAAAGGUAUGAAAUCAGCCUCCCGCAAAGCUAGUAGGGACGAUAAAAAACAAAAGUAGUAAAGUCAUCUCUAUCCACAAUAAGCAGUUACGGCAUAUACCAAACAACUAGAUGCAAAAUAUUAAGAAUAAUUGUGAGGGUGGUGAAAGUACAAAUGCAGGGCAUUUAAAAUGCAGUUGAAAGAGAUCAGCAACUUAAUCAUAUACAUACAGACUGCUGUACAAAAACCUCGAGGUAACUGCAAACCAAAGAUCUAUAAUAUAAAUACACACAAAGGACUCCAAACGUAACACUUAAGAUAGUCAUCAAGUCACAAGAGAACAAAAGAAGGGGGGAAAAAAGACCUUCAAAAACAAAUCCAAAACAACACAAUGGCAGUAAGAAAAUAUAUAUUGAUUACUUUAAGUGUAAAUGGUCUAAAGAAAAGACAGGCUGGCUGAAUGGACACAAAAAGAUGAUCCAUGUAUUUGCUGCCUACAAGAGGUUCCUUUCAAAUCUACAGACACUUUACAGACUGAAAGUGAGGGGAGGGGAAAAGACAGUCCAUGCAAAUAGAAAUCAAAAGAAAGCUGGAGUAGCAAUACUUAUAGAUGAAAUAGACUUAAAGACUGUUAAAAGAGACAAGCAACCAACGGAUCGCUGAAGAAAUCAAAGAGGAAAUAAAUAGCAGGAGACAAAUGUGACAACACAAUGUUCCAAAACCUAUGAGAUUCAGCAAAAGCAGUUUUAAGAGGGAAGUUUAUAGUGAUACAGCUUACCUCAGGAAACAAGAAAAGUUCUCAAACAACCUAACCUUACACCUAAAGCAAUUAAAGAAAGAAGAAUGAACAAAACACAAAGUUAGCAGAAGGAAAGAAAUCAUAAAGAUCAGAGCAGAAAUAAAUAGAGACUACAAAAACAUAGAAAAUAUCAAUGAAACUAAAAGUGGUUCUUUGAAAAGACACACAAAAAUCGCUAAACCUUUUCCA